rnacentral:rRNA from 1 species
GAUGAACGCUAGCGGCAGGCUUAACACAUGCAAGUCGAACGGUAACAGGAUUGAUUUAUCAAUUGCUGACGAGUGGCGCACGGGUGCGUAACACGUAUGCAACCUACCCUUUACAGGAGGAUAGCCCAGAGAAAUCUGGAUUAAUACUCCAUAGUACCAUAAAGCCGCAUGGUUUAAUGGUUAAAGAUUUAUCGGUAAAGGAUGGGCAUGCGACCUAUUAGCUUGUUGGUAAGGUAACGGCUUACCAAGGCUUCGAUAGGUAGGGGGUCUGAGAGGAUGAUCCCCCACACUGGUACUGAGACACGGACCAG